GAUGAACGCUGGCGGCGUGCCUAAUACAUGCAAGUCGAGCGAACGGACGAGAAGCUUUCUUUUCUGAUGUUAGCGGCGGACGGGUGAGUAACACGUGGAUAACCUACCUAUAAGACUGGGAUAACUUCGGGAAACCGGAGCUAAUACCGGAUAAUAUUUUAAACCGCAUGGUUCAAAAGUGAAAGACGGUCUUGCUGUCACUUAUAGAUGGAUCCGCGCUGCAUUAGCUAGUUGGUAAGGUAACGGCUUACCAAGGCAACGAUGCAUAGCCGACCUGAGAGGGUGAUCGGCCACACUGGAACUGAGACACGGUCCAGACUCCUACGGGAGGCAGCAGUAGGGAAUCUUCCGCAAUGGGCGAAAGCCUGACGGAGCCACGCCGCGUGAGUGAUGAAGGUCUUCGGAUCGUAAAACUCUGUUAUUAGGGAAGAACAUAUGUGUAAGUAACUGUGCACAUCUUGACGGUACCUAAUCAGAAAGCCACGGCUAACUACGUG
rnacentral:rRNA from 1 species